rnacentral:rRNA from 1 species
CUAUGAGUAGUUUAAAUGGCCGCAGUACUUUGACUGUGCAAAGGUAGCAUAAUCACUUGUCCUUUAAUUUGGGGCUGGAAUGAAAGGGGCGACGAAAUCUAGACUAUUAGCGGUUAAUUAUAAAUUAACAUAAGGGUCAAAAGGCCCUUAUACACCAAGGGGACGAUAAGACCCUAUAAAACUUUACCUUUAAAGAAAAUUCUAGUAGAGUGAAUUUUUGUAUAGGUUGUACUGGGGCGGUAUUAAUAAAAACAAUUAAGAUAACGAAUAUAUUAUAUAAUUUUAUAGAACUCUUUAGAAAUAGAACAAGUUACUUUAGGGAUAACAGCAUAAUUCUCUCAGAGAGUACUGAUCGGCGGGAGAGUUUAUGACCUCGAUGUUGAAUUGGAACUCCUUGCGAAAGUAGAGAUUUGCAGAGAUAGUCUGUUCGACUAUUAAAUUUCC